CAGCCGCCACGGGAAUACGGAGGGGGCUAGCGUUGUUCGGAAUUACUGGGCGUAAAGCGCACGUAGGCGGCUUGGUAAGUUAGAGGUGAAAGCCUGGAGCUCAACUCCAGUAUUGCCUUUAAGACUGCCGAGCUAGCAGGUGAGAGAGGUAAGUGGAAUUCCGAGUGUAGAGGUGAAAUUCGUAGAUAUUCGGAAGAACACCAGUGGCGAAGGCGGCUCACUGGACGCGUAUUGACGCUGAGGUGCGAAAGCGUGGGGAGCAAACAGGAUUAGAUACCCCGGUAGUCCCUGUCUCUUAUAC
rnacentral:rRNA from 1 species